rnacentral:rRNA from 1 species
GACGAACGCUGGCGGCGUGCUUAACACAUGCAAGUCGAACGGUGACGGAGAGCUUGCUCUCCUGAUCAGUGGCGAACGGGUGAGUAACACGUGGGCAACCUGCCCCAGACUUCGGGAUAACGCUUCGAAAGAGGUGCUAAUACCGGAUACGAACUCCUUGGGCAUCCUUGGAGUUGGAAAGUUUUUCGGUCUGGGAUGGGCCCGCGGCCUAUCAGCUUGUUGGUGAGGUAACGGCUCACCAAGGCGACGACGGGUAGCCGGCCUGAGAGGGCGACCGGCCACACUGGGACUGGGACACGGCCCAGACUCCUACGGGAGGCAGCAGUGGGGAAUUUUGGACAAUGGGCGAAAGCCUGAUCCAGCCAUGCCGCGUGUCCGAAGAAGGCCUUCGGGUUGUGAAGGACUUUUGUCAGGGAGGAAAUCCCUAGUGCUAAUAACACUGGGGGGUGACAGUACCUGAAGAAUAAGCACCGGCUAACUAC